UCCCGUUUAGCUCAGCUGGUAGAGCGCGUCACUAGUACCUUUGCCUGUGUAACAAUGACGAGGUCAGUCGUUCGAGUCGGCUAAUGGGAA
rnacentral:tRNA from 1 species